GGGUGCCGGGGCUUCUCCCGUUU
rnacentral:tRNA from 1 species